GACGAACGCUGGCGGCGUGCUUAACACAUGCAAGUCGAACGGUGAAGCGCCUUCCUUUUUGGUGGGUGUGGAUGAGUGGCGAACGGGUGAGUAACACGUGAGUAACCUGCCCCCUUCUUCUGGAUAACCGCAUGAAAGUGUGGCUAAUACGGGAUAUUCUGGGUCUGUCGCAUGAUGGGUCUGGGAAAGAUAUUGUUUCGGUGGGGGAUGGGCUCGCGGCCUAUCAGCUUGUUGGUGGGGUGAUGGCCUACCAAGGGGGUGACGGGCCGCCGGCCUGAGAGGGUGGACGGUCACACUGGGACUGAGCCCCCGCCCAGACUCCUACGGGAGGCAGCAGUGGGGAAUAUUGCACAAUGGGCGCAAGCCUGAUGCAGCGACGCCGCGUGAGGGAUGGCGGCCUUCGGGUUGUGAACCUCUUUCGCCAGUGAAGCAGGCCUGCCUCGUUUGUGGGUGGGUUGACGGUAGCUUGAUAAGAAGCGCCGGCUAACUACGUG
rnacentral:rRNA from 1 species